rnacentral:rRNA from 1 species
AGAGUUUGAUCAUGGCUCAGGAUGAACGCUAGCUACAGGCUUAACACAUGCAAGUCGAGGGGAAACGAUAUUGGAAGCUUGCUUCCGAUAGGCGUCGACCGGCGUACGGGUGAGUAACGCGUAUCCAACCUGCCCACCACUUGGGGAUAACCUUGCGAAAGUAAGACUAAUACCCAAUGACGUCUCUAGAAGACAUCUGAAAGAGAUUAAAGAUUUAUCGGUGAUGGAUGGGGAUGCGUCUGAUUAGCUUGUUGGCGGGGUAACGGCCCACCAAGGCGACGAUCAGUAGGGGUUCUGAGAGGAAGGCCCCCCCANAUUGGAACUGAGACACGGUCCAAACUCCUACGAGAGGCAGCA